ensembl:lncRNA
AUUUUGCAGAAUGAAAAAAAAACAGAAACAGAAAAGUACAUAGCAUUUGAUAUCAUUUUUUUUGUUUUUAAAUUUUAAGUUAUUUAUUUUGAGACACACACACACACACACACACACACACACACACACACAGAGGGGGGAGGGGCAGAGAGAGAGAAUCCCAAGCAGGUUCUAUGCUCAGCACAGAGCCGGACACGGGGCUCGAUCCCAUGACAGCGAGAUCACAACCUGAGCUGGAAAUCAAGAGAUCGACGCUCAACCGACUGAGCCACCCAGGGGUCCCAGCAUUUGAUUUUAUUUGUAAGAAAUUCUUCUUAAAAAGGCAUUCUAAUCUCUAAGGGACAGAAAACAGAUCGGUGGUUGCCUGGGGUUGAGGGUAAGGAGAGGUUUCAACAAAAGAUGGGGAAUAAGGAACUUUUUUGGGUUCCUUAUGGAACCAAUGGUGGAAAUGUUUCUUAUUUGAAUUGCGCUUAAAUAGGUGCAUUUUGUUGUAUGUAAAUUGUAUCGUAGAGAAGUUGAUUUUUUAAAGUGUCAGCCUUUUGAAUUGGAUUUUUACGUCCUUUGCCUCUUUUUUCUUUGCUUUUUCUUUUACUUGGUUUUUCCUCUUUGCUGAAGAUGAACUUUUUAAGGAUGUUCAUUGAAUUGUAAGAGAGGUCAGAUGGAUCCUUAUUGAUCCGCCUAACUUAGGGACCCCCUCCCCCCCUCCCGCCUUGAUUCUGCCCUGCUUCCUUUUCAGUGACAUCUAGUCCUGAGUCUCGACUUCAUCCCUUGUGUCUGGACGAGACGUUGGCGUGUGCUUGUUUUUGAGUCAACUCGGCACCCCCUUAGCAAACUUAUAUACUUUGGGCUUUUCUGUGUUUGGCCCAGGUGGAUAGGAUUCCUUGCUCUCGUCUACACGGUAAUCCAGCCCGCUUCCAGUUUGUUGACGCCAGCAGGCUUAGCCAGUGGUCCUGUAGGGAAUCGGACGUCUGCCAGAACGCUGUUCCCCCUCACCUCCGAGCUCUACCUGUUUAAGCCGGGGACAUGGCAGCUGUUAUUCACUUGUACUAAGAACCACUGGAAUAUCUUGCACAUUGGCAAACCGGCCUCCAUCUACUUCCACCGGCCUCGAUGUGCGUGCGUCAGAGCGACACGAAUUGAGGACAGUGCUAUGACUGAAAGUGAAAGUCUUGAAAAACUAAGAGAAAAUUACUAUUUUUAAUCAAAACUGCUGAAAUAGUACAUCUCACUGAAAUUUGUUAUUUUGGGGUUUUUUUGUUGUUGUUUUUCAAUAUAUGAAGUUUAUUGUCAAAUUGGUUUCCAUACAACACCCAGUGCUCUUCCCAACAGGUGCCCUCCUCAAUACCCAUCACCCACCCUCCCCUCCCUCCCACCCCCCAUCAACCCUCAGUUUGUUCUCAGUUUUUAAGAGUCUCUUAUGCUUUGGCUCUGUUACGCUCUAACCUCUUUUUUUUUUUUUUUUUUUUUAAUUUGUUAUUUUGAAUUUCUAUGCUGUGUUUGAUUGUUUAAAAACAACACAGGCGGGGCGCCUGGGUGGCGCAGUCGGUCAAGCGUCCGACUUCAGCCAGGUCACGAUCUCGCGGUCCGGGAGUUCGAGCCCCGCGUCGGGCUCUGGGCUGAUGGCUCAGAGCCUGGAGCCUGUUUCCGAUUCUGUGUCUCCCUCUCUCUCUGCCCCUCCCCCGUUCAUGCUCUGUUUCUCUCUGUCCCAAAAAUAAAUAAACGUUGAAAAAAAAUUAAAAAAAAAAA